rnacentral:rRNA from 1 species
UGGGGAAUAUUGGACAAUGGGCGCAAGCCUGAUCCAGCCAUGCCGCGUGUGUGAAGAAGGCCCUCGGGUUGUAAAGCACUUUCAGUGGGGAAGAAAGCCUGGUGGUUAAUACCCGUCAGGAAGGACAUCACCCACAGAAGAAGCACCGGCUAACUCCGUGCCAGCAGCCGCGGUAAUACGGAGGGUGCGAGCGUUAAUCGGAAUUACUGGGCGUAAAGCGCGCGUAGGUGGCUUGAUAAGCCGGUUGUGAAAGCCCCGGGCUCAACCUGGGAACGGCAUCCGGAACUGUCAGGCUAGAGUGCAGGAGAGGAAGGUAGAAUUCCCGGUGUAGCGGUGAAAUGCGUAGAGAUCGGGAGGAAUACCAGUGGCGAAGGCGGCCUUCUGGACUGACACUGACACUGAGGUGCGAAAGCGUGGGUAGCAAACA